UUGAAGCCUUCUACAUGGUUUUCAAGUCUCUUUUAGGAGAAAAACUAAACAAUGGUUAAAAAAUGUAACAAGGAUUUUAUUUUAGAUGUGUUAAUAACUUAAUAUCUACGUAUUUUUUUUAUACAACUGAUUCAAACGAACAGAUUGGAGAGAAAACGAGCGAACACACUAAACACGCAAUUUAAGAAAAAUUCGAAUAGAAAAACAGAUCGCGGCCGCUAGAAGGAGCUGCGAGCUGCGACUAAAGCAGACAACAAUCGAAACUCAAAAGUAGUUUAGGCGCCGUUUACAAGCACGUUGGACAAGUUCUUGAGUCACAACUCACAAGAAAAAAAUUGCAAGGAUUUGAAAGUGAAAUCUAUGGAUACGACGAUUGCGUGAUAUUGAGUUGAGCCUUUGAUUAUUAGUAACGAAUUGCAAUUGACCAUUGAAUGGACAUUGGAGAAUGUGAACUGAACGUUUCCUUAACUAACUAGUAACUACAGUUCUGAGUGUUUUAUCUUCAUGGUAGCGUGUUAUCACCCAUUGUUGAAGCUCACUAGGAUUCCAUACUGUCAUAAACUGAUUUGUUGCUGUAGAUGUUGAACCACAACUGACACUCCAAGAUCUCUUUGCUUCACUAUUGAACAAUUUCUAAUUAAGUCUAUAGUGACUGUGUGAUUUUACCAUUCCUCCAUGAUUUUACAAGCUAGAUUUAGCCAUUUAGGCCUACACAAUGAUUUUAUACAUCAAUUCCACCAAAUCAAAGAAGGACAAAAGCAGAGGAGAGACGCCGCAAAUGUUACUUCUUACUUGUCGCACAAGUCCCGGUGUUGGUGUCGCGUUUUGAUGUCAGGUUACCGACUUCGCAACCAGAUUCUUUGCCAUUUGUAAUCGGAAUGAUCACUUUAGUCGAGUUUUACGGUGCAAAUUUAGCCACGGUUUGAUUUUGAAAAGUGGUGAGGUAUUUCUACGCCAUUUGACCGAGCUUAAACGAAAGUGAACAAUUCUAAGGCAUCAUGCCGAAGAUCUUUUGCCUUUCUCCACGUGAUCGCUGCCGUGUCAUGAAGAUGCUUCUUUGAGAGGGUCUCUACUAUAUUGCAAGACAAAAAUGUGAUGAGAACAGGAAAUCUGAGUUGGUUAUAUAAUGUAUUUUAAGAUAAAUCAAAGUUCAAGCUGCAGACGUGCCGGCCAGUUUGCAUGUCCUUCACGCUCGAAGGUCACGGUGAAAAUUACGUGUAAAACUGUCAGUGCGGUGGUGUAGA